rnacentral:rRNA from 1 species
GAUGAACGCUGGCGGCGUGCCUAAUACAUGCAAGUCGAGCGAACGGACGAGAAGCUUGCUUCUCUGAUGUUAGCGGCGGACGGGUGAGUAACACGUGGAUAACCUACCUAUAAGACUGGGAUAACUUCGGGAAACCGGAGCUAAUACCGGAUGAUAUUUUGAACCGCAUGGUUCAAAAGUGAAAGACGGUCUUGCUGUCACUUAUAGAUGGAUCCGCGCUGCAUUAGCUAGUUGGUAAGGUAACGGCUUACCAAGGCAACGAUGCAUAGCCGACCUGAGAGGGUGAUCGGCCACACUGGAACUGAGACACGGUCCAGACUCCUACGGGAGGCAGCAGUAGGGAAUCUGCCGCAAUGGGCGAAAGCCUGACGGCGCAACGCCGCGUGAGUGAUGAAGGUCUUCGGAUCGUAAAACUCUGUUAUUAGGGAAGAACAGAUGUGUAAGUAACUGUGCACAUCUUGACGGUACCUAAUCAGAAAGCCACGGCUAACUACGUG